rnacentral:rRNA from 1 species
UACAGAGGUCUCAAGCGUUGUUCGGAUUCAUUGGGGCGUAAAAGGGUGUGUAGGUGGCGCCGUAAGUCGGGUGUGAAAUUUCGGAGCUUAACUCCGAAACUGCAUUCGUAUACUGCGGUGCUUGAGGACUGGAGAGGAGACGUGGAAAUUCGAUGGUGAGCAGUGAAAUGGCGUAGAGAUCAUGAGAAGACCAGUGGCGAAGCG